GGAAAGGCGUCUGUUGAAGUGUUAAGUUGUAACCUUAAUUAUAGGAUUAAAGUUUCCUUCUUUCUA
rnacentral:tRNA from 1 species